AGGGAAUCGAGUCUUGAAAAAGAGAAUGGACGGUGUUGAUGCGUUAUUAGGUGAAAAAGCCGAAUUUUAAAAAACGCAAGUCCACAUAACGCGUUACUUCCGUUCACUUUUGAACCCAAAGAGCGGGUAGCUGAGAUCGGAGAACCCUCUCUUUCUUCUCCUUCUUCAGUUUGAUUCUUGGUGAUUGGAGAUUGGUGAAAAAAUAGCUUACAAGCAAUCUAAAUUCGCAUUUUAGGAAGUUGAAUAUCAUUCAGAAUGAUGGUCAAUUACAAGCAAAAGAGCAAUCAAUUGAAAGCUCUACUGAAGUGAACCAAAAUAACAACUCUAUACUUGAAGAAAAUGCACAAUUUGAAGGAGGUUGAUCCAGAUAUCAGCCUUUCUCUUAAACAGAACCCUGCUUCUUAUACGCAAGUUUUGAAUGCUUCCUCUAGAGGGUUGCACAGAAUGAGAACUGUAUUCAGUUAUCUUCCCAUAUCCAUGGCAACUGAACCAGCUGCAGAUGACUCAAUACUUUCACUGCUAAGGGUUUUUUGGCCCAUCUUGGAGAAAUUUUUUGGCUCUGAGCAUAUGGAGAAUGGGAAUUUAUCCGUAGCAGCUUGCUGAGCUCUUUCACUAGCUGUUCGAUCUUCAGGUUUACCCACUUGGACACAUUUGUUGACAGUUCAUCGGUUCCCCUUGUGAUAAAUAUAGUUUUUUAAUGUGCAGGUCAGCAUUUUGUGACAUUACUGCCCAAGGUGCUGGACUGGCUUUCAAAAAAUUUUGUUUUAUUCCAAAGUCAUGAAUGCUAUAUAAGAAUCGCUUCCAUUGUCAUUGAAGAAUUUGGUCAUCUAGAGGAGUACGGACCUUUAUUUGUCACUUCUGACGACAUUCCAGACAUUGAUAAGAAAAAAAUGGUAUGUUGAUUGGAGCAACUACAUCAAUCGGAUUAAUCAUGUAAGCCUCUCUUAAACUUUUUCAUUUUCUUGUAAACGGGUCUAAUUAAUACUUGUCUUUGCUAUGUUUCUCUCAAUAUGAUUCUUAUUUUGUACAGCUUUUUUUUAUUGGUUUCAAUGUAUAAUUUUUGGUCUUCUCUUUUUCUCAAAAAUUAGAAAAAUAGUACUGUUUUCAAAUUGUAAAGAAUGGAUAGGGUGAAUGAAACAGAGAGUGAAAGUUACAACAACAUAUAGAAGCAAAGGUGCAGACCAUUUUUUGCUUUCGUGUCAUGAUUGGUGUAGAGGCUUUGAUGGAAUUAUUAAAGUCUGGGAUGUAUCUAGCAAAAAUUGGACUGGAUAACCUAGAAGAAGCUUUACUACUUCAGGCUGAUAUGAUGGAUCUUAAAGCACGAAUUCAUGGGCCUGCUCAAGCAUAUGUGAUGGAAGCGAGACUUGACGAAGGACGGGGUCCAUUAGUAACUACUAUAGUGAAGGCAGGGACUCUUUUCAAUUUGUUGUUUUAAAAUUUUGGUUUAAAAUAGUGGAAGUGGUCCAAGGUGAUGCUAGGAACGUGUUGUGCAUUUGUAUUGGUUUUGGGAAGCCAAGGCUACAGAGUUAUCAAAAGUAUUUUAAUGAAGUUAAACCAUUGGAAGCAGAGAGAUUCAAGGCGUUUCGCAUCCAGUGGACACAGUAUUAUCUAAAAGUUAGAAAUCAAACAUAGGAUGUUAGACAACUAUGUAACUUUAGGUUACUUAAUUAGUUUACAUACUUUGCAUUACAUUUUUUACAAUUGUUGUUUCAUUUUAACAUUUAAUAACCUUUGUUGAUAACUAGUUUUCUGGUAAAACCU